UACGUAGGGUGCGAGCGUUACUCGGAAUUACUGGGCGUAAAGCGUGCGCAGGCGGUUUGUUAAGUCUGAUGUGAAAGCCCCGGGCUCAACCUGGGAACUGCAUUGGAAACUGGCAAGCUCGAGUAUGGCAGAGGGGGGUGGAAUUCCGCGUGUAGCAGUGAAAUGCGUAGAGAUGCGGAGGAACACCGAUGGCGAAGGCAGCCCCCUGGGCCAAUACUGACGCUCAGGCACGAAAGCGUGGGGAGCAAACAGG
rnacentral:rRNA from 1 species